GACAGUCGCCGCUUCGUCGUCGUCCCUUUCGGGGGAGACGGGCGGAGGGGAGGAAAGUCCGGGCUCCAUAGGGCAGGGUGCCAGGUAACGCCUGGGGGGGAAACCCACGACCAGUGCAACAGAGAGCAAACCGCCGAUGGCCCGCGCAAGCGGGAUCAGGUAAGGGUGAAAGGGUGCGGUAAGAGCGCACCGCGCGGCUGGUAACAGUCCGUGGCACGGUAAACUCCACCCGGAGCAAGGCCAAAUAGGGGUUCACAUGGUACGGCCCGUACUGAACCCGGGUAGGCUGCUUGAGCCAGUGAGCGAUUGCUGGCCUUACUUAGAAGCAUAAAUGAGAUACAGAAUGGGAUACAUCAACGAUUGUUACCU
rnacentral:RNase_P_RNA from 1 species